GGACCAGGAGGAGAAUUUAAAAACAUUAGCUUCAUCUGUACAAAGACUGAUGAUAUCAAUCCAGGAGCCUACAUGAGAUGUUCACGGCUGACUAAAGAUGAAAUAGGAAACAAGGAUCAGACAGCAGUGUGCAUACUUCACAGAAACAAAACCACUAAGGAAUCAAUAAAAAAAAAAAUUGAAAGUUUGAAUCCUGGAACCAAAAAAACUGAUGGAGAAAAUCAGCACUGAAGUUUUUACUGUAGCUCCAAGGCAUUUUUUCA